GUGUUGAGAGUUGGGUCCCACGCAUCAAGAACCUGUGAACCUCGUCAGGACCGGAAGGUAGCAGCGAUAAGCAGUCUUUCUUGAGUGCCGUGGACAAAUCU
rnacentral:SRP_RNA from 1 species